rnacentral:lncRNA from 13 species
AUGUCCGUGUUUUUCCUGGAAAGCCGUGCCGCCAGAUGCAGCCCUUUACAAGGCCAAGCGCUCGCUUCCAUCGGGGAUGCAGGAUGGAGGAAUGCCAUCGGAGCCGGGAUGGAGACCAGGGUCGCUGCUCUUUGCUUUCCAGGUCUGUUCUUCCAGCUCUUUUUUCGGGAUGUGAUUUCAGCCACUUUGGAGGGGGUGUCCCGUUCCCUGGUGGGCGGGAGCACGGGGAGGGCACGGAAUCCUGGAAUGGUUUGGGAUGGAAGGGACCUUAAGGAUCAUCCAGCUCCACCCCUCUGCCAUGGGCAGGGACACCUCCCACUAGUCCAGCUUGUUCCAAGCCUCAUCCAAGCAGGGCUGGAAGCAUCUCCCGAGCUCUGGAAGCGCGGUGCUUCCAAACCCGGCCUCUCAGCUCCCUCUAGAGCCAGAGAGAAGGAAAAAACACUUCCAAAAGUUGCCCCACCUGGUCCUGAAAUACUCGGCUGGACGGUCCUGUCCUUUCCCAGGCAGAGAGAGAGGUGUUGGGGUGAUGCCAGAAUCCCGGCCCUAAAAAUUCCUGUUUCACCAAGGAAUUCCUACCCUGCAUACAUCAGACAUCCAGGAAAAUUGAGGAGGUCCUCCAGGUCGGCACGGGGUAUCCCAACCCUCCUGGAGAAAAGGCCACGGCCAUUUUCUGGGAGGAAGGAGGGAUGGAGGCAGGAAGGGGCCUCCGAAUCCCCCGGGAUGCCUUCGCCAUGUGUGGUGGCUCCAUUCCCAGCCCGAGCUCCCACUUCCCAUGGAUUUUGGGAGCCUCCGUUGGCAAAGCUGCCUUGUUGAGCAAGAGGGGCCUGACGAGAAUUCCAUGAGCGCGCUUCCCGCAAGGAGCAAAGGGCAGCGGGAGCGUGUCCCUGCCUGGCCGGUGCCUCCCGGGGAUUUCGGACAGUGAAGGGACCGUGAGGAGGAGGAGGAGGAAGGCACCUGGGAAAUUCCUUCAGCUUCCCGGGCUCAUUCCCAGGCCAUGGCAGCCACGACGGUGACCGAUGCCGGCAGUGUGAGGAUCAUCACGGAGGUGAUCCCGGCCACGGAUCCCCGGGCGGCCCAGCUGGCCUCGGGCUCCCAGACGCCUGCGCCUGCCAGGACGUCAUUCCAAACACAAGGCUUCCGGAGGGCUCAUCCCAAGGUGUUGGGG